rnacentral:rRNA from 1 species
AUUGAACGCUGGCGGCAGGCCUAACACAUGCAAGUCGAACGAGUGGCGGACGGGUGAGUAAUGUCUGGGAAACUGCCCGCUGGAGGGGGAUAACUACUGGCAACGGUAGCUAAUACCGCAUACCCUCAGAUGUGCCCAGAUGGGAUUAGCUGGUGGGUGGGGUAACGGCUAACCUAGGCGACGAUCCCUAGCUGGUCUGAGAGGAUGACCAGCAAAACUGGAACUGAGACACGGUCCAGACUCCGACGGGAGGGAGCAGUGGGGAAUAUUGCACAAUGGGCGCAAGCCUGAUGCAGCCAUGCCGCGUGUGUGAAGAAGGCCUUCGGGUUGUAAAGCACUUUCAGCGGGGAGGCGGUACCCGCAGAAGAAGCACCGGCUAACUCCGUGCCAGCAGCCGCGGUAAUAC